UACGGGGGGUGCGAGCGUUGUCCGGAAUCACUGGGCGUAAAGGGCGCGUAGGUGGUCUUAUAAGGGUGUGGUGAAAGCCCGGGGCUCAACCCCGGGUCGGCCGUGCCGACUGUAAGACUAGAGUGCUGUAGGGGCAGGCGGAAUUCCGGGUGUAGCGGUGGAAUGCGUAGAGAUCCGGAGGAAGACCGGUGGCGAAGGCGACACGCUGGGCCGUACCUGACACUGAUGCGCGACAGCAUGGGGAGCAAACAGG
rnacentral:rRNA from 1 species